rnacentral:lncRNA from 1 species
AUGAAAGUGGCAUUGGAUAAGGUCAUUGAAAUUGUGACUGACUGUAAACCGAAUGGAGAGACUGACAUUUCAUCUGUCAGUAUUUUUACUGGAAUUAAGGAAUUCAAGAUGAAUAUUGAAGCUCUUCGGGAGAAUCUUUAUUUUCAGUCCAAAGAGAAUCUUUCUGUGACAUUGGAAGUCAUCUUGGAGCGUACAGAGGACUUCACUGAUUCUGCCUACACCAGCCAUGAGCACAGGGAACGCAUCUUGGAACUGUCAACUCAGGCGAGAAUGGAACUGCAGCAGUUAAUUUCUGUGUGGAUUCAAGCUCAAAGCAAGAAAACAAAAAGCAUCGCUGAAGAACUGGAACUCAGUAUUUUGAAAAUCAGUCACAGUCUUAAUGAACUUAAGAAAGAAGUAAGUAUAGUUUGAAAUUUAGCUUCUUCUAAUUCUUUGCUAAUUUUCAUGUUGUAUGGGUGUAUGAAAUGCAUUAGUAUUAGUAUGUCUCUGUGCCUAGAAAAUGGUUUUGAAAGUUUUCCUUUGAGGCCAGGCAUGGUGGCUCAUACCCGUAAUUCCAGCACUGUGGGGAGGCCAAGGUGGGAGGAUCACUUGAGCCUAGGAGUUCGAGAUUAGCCUGGGCAACAUGGCGAAACCCCAUCUCUACAAAAAACACAAAAGAUUAGCCAGGUGUGGUGGUUAGCGCCUGUAGUCCCAGCUACUCGGGAGGCUGAAGUGGGAGAAUCACCCGAUCCCCAGGGCUCAAGGCUGCAGUGAGCCAUGAUUGCGCUGCUGCACUUCAGCCUGGGUGCCAGAGUGAGACCCUGU